rnacentral:rRNA from 1 species
UACGAAGGGUGCAAGCGUUAAUCGGAAUUACUGGGCGUAAAGCGUGCGCAGGCGGUUUUGUAAGUCUGACGUGAAAUCCCCGGGCUCAACCUGGGAAUUGCGCUGGAGACUGCAAGGCUAGAAUCUGGCAGAGGGGGGUAGAAUUCCACGUGUAGCAGUGAAAUGCGUAGAGAUGUGGAGGAACACCGAUGGCGAAGGCAGCCCCCUGGGUCAAGAUUGACGCUCAUGCACGAAAGCGUGGGGAGCAAACAGG